rnacentral:rRNA from 1 species
GACGAACGCUGGCGGCGUGCCUAAUACAUGCAAGUCGAGCGGACCACUUCGGUGGUCAGCGGCGGACGGGUGAGUAACACGUGGGCAACCUGCCUGUAAGACUGGGAUAACACCGGGAAACCGGUGCUAAUACCGGAUAAUCCUUUCCUUCACAUGAGGGAAAGCUGAAAGACGGUUUCGGCUGUCACUUACAGAUGGGCCCGCGGCGCAUUAGCUAGUUGGUGAGGUAACGGCUCACCAAGGCGACGCUGCGUGGCCGACCUGAGAGGGUGAUCGGCCACACUGGGACUGAGACACGGCCCAGACUCCUACGGGAGGCAGCAGUAGGGAAUCUUCCGUAAUGGACGAAAGUCUGACGGAGCAACGCCGCGUGAGCGAUGAAGGCCUUCGGGUCGUAAAGCUCUGUUGUCAGGGAAGAACGAGUAUCGGAGUAACUGCCGGUACCUUGACGGUACCUGACCAGAAAGCCACGGCUAACUACGUGCCAGCCGCCGCGGUAAAAC